UCGAACGAGAGCGACCGGUGCUUGCACUGGUCAAUCUAGUGGCGAACGGGUGAGUAACACGUGGGUAACCUGCCCAUCAGAGGGGGAUAACAUUCGGAAACGGAUGCUAAAACCGCAUAGGUCCUUUAACCGCAUGGUUGAAGGAGGAAAAGAGGCGCAAGCCUCUGCUGAUGGAUGGACCCGCGGUGCAUUAGCUAGUUGGUGAGGUAACGGCUCACCAAGGCCGUGAUGCAUAGCCGACCUGAGAGGGUGAUCGGCCACAUUGGGACUGAGACACGGCCCAAACUCCUACGGGAGGCAGCAGUAGGGAAUCUUCCGCAAUGGACGCAAGUCUGACGGAGCAACGCCGCGUGAGUGAAGAAGGUUUUCGGAUCGUAAAACUCUGUUGUUAGAGAAGAACAAGUGCUAGAGUAACUGUUAGCGCCUUGACGGUAUCUAACCAGAAAGCCACGGCUAACUACGUGCCAGCAGCCGCGGUAAUACGUAGGUGGCAAGCGUUGUCCGGAUUUAUUGGGCGUAAAGCGAGCGCAGGCGGUUCCUUAAGUCUGAUGUGAAAGCCCCCGGCUCAACCGGGGAGGGUCAUUGGAAACUGGGGAACUUGAGUGCAGAAGAGGAGAGUGGAAUUCCAUGUGUAGCGGUGAAAUGCGUAGAUAUAUGGAGGAACACCAGUGGCGAAGGCGACUCUCUGGUCUGUAACUGACGCUGAGGCUCGAAAGCGUGGGUAGCAAACAGGAUUAGAUACCCUGGUAGUCCACGCCGUAAACGAUGAGUGCUAAGUGUUGGAGGGUUUCCGCCCUUCAGUGCUGCAGU
rnacentral:rRNA from 1 species